AUGCGCUCAUAGCUCAGUUGGUUAGAGCACCGGACU
rnacentral:tRNA from 1 species